rnacentral:rRNA from 1 species
UACGUAGGGACCGAGCGUUGUCCGGAAUCAUUGGGCGUAAAGAGCGUGUAGGCGGCUAUUUAAGUCCUGCGUGAAAUCCUGCGGCUCAACCGCAGACGGUCGUGGGAAACUGGAUGGCUAGAGUGCGGGAGAGGAGAGUGGAAUUCCCGGUGUAGCGGUGAAAUGCGCAGAUAUCGGGAAGAACACCCGUGGCGAAGGCGGCUCUCUAGUACGGUACUGACGCUGAGACGCGAAAGCGUGGGAGCGAACAGG